rnacentral:tRNA from 1 species
GCGCGAGUGGUGGAAUUGGCAGACACGCAGGAUUCAGGUUCCUGUGCUGGAAACAGCGUGAGGGUUCAAGUCCCUCCUCGCGCA